UUACGGCCACAUCACGACGAAAAACCGACUCCCGCACGAUCACCGAAGUUAAACCACUUCACGCUUGGUCAGUACCUAGAUGGGUGAUCGUUUAGGAGUACAAGGUGCUGUAAG